rnacentral:rRNA from 1 species
AUUAUUUAAGAGGUAAACAUUGUUAGUAAAUAGAAAUUACGAAAGCAAAAAAUUAUGGCGGUAUUUUAAGCUUUUCAGAGGAAUUUGCUCUUUAAUGGAUAAAACACCUAAAUCUUACUUAAAUUUGUAAAUUCAAUUUGUAUACCACUAUAAAAACAAUUAAUAACUUCAAUUGUUAAAAUUUAUUAAAUUAAGUUAUAUUAAGUCAAGGUGCAGUAAAAAUUUAAGAAUGAAGUGAAUUACAUUUCUUUUUAGAGAGAGAAAUUUAAAUAACAUUUAGGAU